rnacentral:rRNA from 1 species
GACGAACGCUGGCGGCGCGCUUAACACAUGCAAGUCGAACGGAAAGGCCCUGCUUUUGUGGGGUGCUCGAGUGGCGAACGGGCGAGUAACACGUGAGUAACCUGCCCUUGACUUUGGGAUAACUUCAGGAAACUGGGGCUAAUACCGGAUAGGAGCUCCUGCUGCAUGGUGGGGGUUGGAAAGUUUCGGCGGUUGGGGAUGGACUCGCGGCUUAUCAGCUUGUUGGUGGGGUAGUGGCUUACCAAGGCUUUGACGGGUAGCCGGCCUGAGAGGGUGACCGGCCACAUUGGGACUGAGAUACGGCCCAGACUCCUACGGGAGGCAGCAGUGGGGAAUAUUGCACAAUGGGCGGAAGCCUGAUGCAGCAACGCCGCGUGCGGGAUGACGGCCUUCGGGUUGUAAACCGCUUUCGCCUGUGACGAAGCGUGAGUGACGGUAAUGGGUAAAGAAGCACCGGCUAACUACGUG